rnacentral:misc_RNA from 1 species
GUGAAUCAUCGAAUUUUUGAACGCAAAUUGCGCUUCCUGGCAUCCCGGGAAGUACGCCUGUUUGAGGGUCAGUAUUAAUAAAAAAUCGGGUUAGUUACAAAUUGUGACGUUUCCGGCGUUUGGGCUAUCUUAACAUUUUUAUGUAAGAGGCUUAAAGUUGACUUCUUUUGAGCAUUUUUAAACGAACAUAAAUUUUUUUUAUUCGUGUAUACUUAUGGCGAAA